UCACCUCCGCCUCACUCAGUCUGUGGACGCUAUGGAUCGAAGCAGUGCGUUUGGGCUUGCAUUUAUCUGCAUUAUAGUGGCCGGCGUCGGAGGUCAAUCUCCGGCAGCGUCGCCGACGGCUACUCCUGUUACGGCUCAUAGUCCGGCCACUCCUGCUGUGGCCACUCCACCUGCUUCUUCACCUGCGGCUGCUGCCCCCACCAAAUCUAAAACGCCGGCUCCGGUCACGGCUCCCACUUCGUCACCACCUACGGCAGUUUCCUCUCCGCCAGCUAGCUCUCCCGUGUCAUCUCCUCCUACUCCGGCUGUGCCAACGCCUGCCUCGUCACCGGUGGCUGUGACUCCGGUCAGCUCGCCACCUGCUCCGGUUCCGGUCAGCUCUCCACCUUUGCUCCCGCCUGCGAAAUCUCCUCCUGUUCCGGCGCCGGCAAACCCCCCCGCGGCUUCUCCUCCGGCUCCGGUUUCUUCGCCUCCUGCAGAGACUCCGGCUGCAGAGGUUCCGUCACCUGCUCCGAGCAAGAAGAAGACUAAGAAGCUCAAAUCGCCGGCCCCUGCUCCGGCGCCGGAGGCGCUGAGUCCUCCUGCACCGCCGACCGAAGCUCCCGGACCGAGUUAUGAUGCGACCUCACCCUCUCCGUCUCUGCCAGAUGAGGUACGUUAUGCUAGUUUUUCUAUCCAUGGCUGAAGUCUAACAUGCGCUGGAGUACAAUGUGCAUCCAGAUCUGGAACUUUGCUAAAACAAAUCCACAGCACUGCUCACUUCUUCAUUGACACGAUUUACCGCUUCAGUUACAUCCUCUCUGUCCUUUUCUUCCUUUUUUUCCAAAGGUCAAUUUAAAUAAGUUCAUUAGACUACAUAUUAGAUUUUCUAAAAACCAAACCGCGCGGCGUAUGAACUGAAGAUUGAUUGGCGGAGCAGGUUUUAUUGCUUCACCUAAUAUCUUCAAAGCAUGGUAGGCAAAGUCCUUCCUGAAUCUUAAAUUUACAGCUCUAUGUUGUACGAGCCAAUAGUCAGAGCUAUGUGAAGUGUGAAGGCCGUACAUUUCGGUGGUCGAGCUGGUACGAUAGAAAGAAGGUGACAGCACUGUGGGCUGAAGAUAGGUCCACACCUCCAUUGGUGUUAGUGUUAGGCCCUGCCGACACCACAAUCUGGAGACUGUAAGACUCUAACCAUGUGACAUUGUAACCACUUCGUGUUUCCCGCUCGCCUCCAAAAUAGAAAGCCAAGCCAGAUCACAUUACACUUAGAGUAAUGAAAACCAGAUUCAUCGAUCAUGCAGUACCUGGAGGCAGAUGAGGUCAAUGUCACGGAGACACGCUCACACCGAUACCCCACAUACGCGACACCCAUUUUAAUUAUUGUUCGUUAUUGUAUAUAUAAAAAUAUCCGAUUAAUCUUUUUUUUUGAAACACAAUUGCAGAGUGGGGCAGAGAAGAUCACGUGCGUGAUGCAGAAGGUGGUUGGAAGCUUGGCAUUGGGAUGGGCUGCCCUUGGUCUGCUUCUCUAGAGAGACAGACGUUUAUUGCUGUUAUAAACUUAUAAUUAAUUAUAAUUUAUUUUAAUCUUUUUAUGUUCUCUUGCAUUGUAUCUUUAUUUCAUGUCUGUUACUCUAUCGUUUACUGGCUGGGGUAUGGUUCGUUAGGAAUUAUACCACAUUGUCUUGUAUUCUUUGGGAGAGUUGUGGGGGAAACUUCGUAGCUUUGUAUUUUUUGACUGCUUUUGUUUCUUCUUUUCAUCAUUCAUUACUCUCUCUCUACUUUUGCUUUUUUCUUUUACUGUUCUGACCAUAAAGGGAUUGCCGGCGAUGGAAGUGACUCCUAGGUUUUGUUUCAUGACCAAUAUUGCACUUCAAGUAAUUGGCAGAAAACUUUUAGAUUUUCCAAAAGGAAAAUCAGAGAAAACUUUUGGCUAGUAACUCAACUGCUGCAAGGAACGAAAAAGAAAAAGCUGGAAAGGGAUAUUCAAUUCUUCGGAAGUAAGGAAUCGCCAGAUCUUAGUCAAUUUGCAGGAACAAAGCAAAAUUUUGUUUAACUUGGAGACCUCCUAGAAGGUUCGGCAAACUUUAACCUUACAAGGAUACAUGUAUAUAGUGAGUAAAUAAUCCAAAGAGUUUAAAAGCAGAAGGGUCGAAUAGUUCACAUGUUCCAAUGCACAUUUAUGAAAAUAAGCACCCAUGCAAGUGUUUGAUUAAAAAAUGAUGAACAAAAAUGAGACUACAUUAAUACAAAGUCGGAUCUAGCGCAUGAAGUUGAAGGUUUUCAUUAAUGUAUUUAUCUUUUGAAGCCGGAUGGCCCGGAUUGUAGUCAAAUUGCUCCACUUGCAUCAGUAGAACUAUUACCACUUGUUGCCUUUUAUUUUUAGUAAUAUAUAUAGACAUGGUGAAUUC
rnacentral:lncRNA from 1 species